AGUGAACGCUGGCGGUAGGCCUAACACAUGCGAGUCGAACGGCAGCACAGUAAGAGCUUGCUCUUACGGGUGGCGAGUGGCGGACGGGUGAGGAAUACAUCGGAAUCUACUUUUUCGUGGGGGAUAACGUAGGGAAACUUACGCUAAUACCGCAUACGACCUACGGGUGAAAGCAGGGGAUCUUCGGACCUUGCGCGAUUGAAUGAGCCGAUGUCGGAUUAGCUAGUUGGCGGGGUAAAGGCCCACCAAGGCGACGAUCCGUAGCUGGUCUGAGAGGAUGAUCAGCCACACUGGAACUGAGACACGGUCCAGACUCCUACGGGAGGAAGCAGUGGGGAAUAUUGGACAAUGGGCGCAAGCCUGAUCCAGCCAUACCGCGUGGGUGAAGAAGGCCUUCGGGUUGUAAAGCCCUUUUGUUGGGAAAGAAAAGCAGCAGGUUAAUACCCCGCUGUUCUGACGGUACCCAAAGAAUAAGCACCGGCUAACUUCGUG
rnacentral:rRNA from 1 species